rnacentral:rRNA from 2 species
UCCUACGGGUGGCUGCAGUGGGGAAUCUUGGACAAUGGGGGCAACCCUGAUCCAGCCAUGCCGCGUGAGUGAAGAAGGUCUUCGGAUUGUAAAGCUCUUUUGCCAGGGACGAUAAUGACGGUACCUGGAGAAUAAGCCCCGGCAAACUUCGUGCCAGCAGCCGCGGUAAUACGAAGGGGGCUAGCGUUGUUCGGAAUUACUGGGCGUAAAGCGCACGUAGGCGGGUGGUUAAGUCAGGGGUGAAAUCCCGGAGCUCAACUCCGGAACUGCCUUUGAUACUGGCCAUCUAGAGAUCGGAAGAGGUGAGUGGAAUUCCCAGUGUAGAGGUGAAAUUCGUAGAUAUUGGGAAGAACACCGGUGGCGAAGGCGGCUCACUGGUCCGAUACUGACGCUGAGGUGCGAAAGCGUGGGGAGCAAACAGGAUUAGAUACCCCAGUAGUCCU